UUGUGGUUGACAUGAUUUGCCAAUAAGUUUAUGAAUUAUUAAUGAGUGUUUGAAGAUUGGUUUACACUGUAUCAAAGUUUCUGUGAUCACCGUAGGAAUUUUGCGUCUAAAUAACGUUAGUCGUAGCAGUUUGAACUACACGGCGUAUUAGAAUGUGCAAGUUCAAGGGAACAUAUUUGUUGAUGAUCAUGCCAUGCAUGUCUUUAUUAAUGAUUCAAAGACAAAUUAAGUGUCUCUGCGUGAGGUAAAAAUCAGUGUUUGACGCGUAUCGGGUUUUUUCUUGGAAUGAUGCAGUUAUAUGAUAUUAACUUUAUGAAAAUGAGCUAACACGUAUAGCCAUUUUCAAUAGUACUCAAUAUGAAUCAAAGUUUUCGUAAACGGUGUUUACUCAAGAACAUAUUUUGCUAUAUUCUGGCUUCAUCACUAUCCUACUGAUUGAGCACAAAUCAAGUGAACGACACUAUUAUAUAUUAAUUUCUCUGCAGUAAUAAAUGCAAUAAUAAAGGUAUGUUGAUAACUAUCUAAUUCUAGCAAUUGACUGCAGUCUUGUCUCUCGGUCUUUGUUUUCAGCCACAAACUGAGCCAGAUUUCAGUAAGCAAAAAGCCUUCAUCGAGCGGCUAAGAGUAGCAGCUCGAGAUAUUAAAUAGUUUUGAAUCUUUCUAUAACUACUUCACAUGCACAGUCGUAAACGAAGAUGUCAUGCAACAUAAAACAAGUAGCAAGCCACAUGCAUAUUUAUUCAAAACAUAUAGCACACUUUGAAAUAGUCGGCACUCGGCCUGGAAGUAAAGUAGCCUAAAUAAUAAUAUACAGUACAGCUGGUAAUUGGUAAAUAUAUAAUUUUUGAAGGGAUUUUUAGAGGGAACUAAUUUCGAGUGGAAUGUAUCUGAAAAAUUCCAUGGCCAUAUAUGCACUCGAAAUUUUCAUCUACAAAUCCCUUCAACAAUUAGACUAUUAGUUAUAUCGAAUGAGAUGCCGGCCCAAAAUCCUGG